CCCUUAGAUGUUCUGGGCCGCACGCGCGCUACACUGAUUCAUGCAACAAGUUUUGUCCUUGGCUGAUAGGCCUGGGUAAUCUUUGAACGUGAAUCGUGAUGGGGAUAGAUGAUUGCAAUUAUUCAUCUUCAACGAGGAAUUCCUAGUAAACGCAAGUCAUCAGCUUGCAUUGAUUACGUCCCUGCCCUUUGUACACACCGCCCGUCGCACCUACCGAUUGAAUGGUCCGGUGAAAUCUUCGGAUCUGAGAGAUGUCUGAUUAAUUUCGGACGCCUUUUGGAAAAGUUGCUUAAACCUUACCAUUUGGAGGAAGGUGAAGUCGUAACA
rnacentral:rRNA from 1 species